AACGAACGCUGGCGGCAUGCCUAACACAUGCAAGUCGAACGAGACCUUCGGGUCUAGUGGCGCCCGGGUGCGUAACGCGUGGGAAUCUGCCCUUGGGUUCGGCAUAACAGUUGGAAACGACUGCUAAUACCGGAUGAUGACGUAAGUCCAAAGAUUUAUCGCCCAAGGAUGAGCCCGCGUAGGAUUAGCUAGUUGGGGAGGUAAAGGCUCACCACGGCGACGAUCCUUAGCUGGGCUGGGAGGAUGAUCAGCCACACUGAGACUGAGACACGGCCCAGACUCCUACGGGAGGCGGGAGUGGGGGAUAUUGGAAAAUGGGCGGAAGGCUGAUGGAGCAAUGACGCGUGAGUGAUGAAGGCCGUAGGGUAGUAAAGCUCUUUUACCCGGGAUGAUAAUGACAGUACCGAGAGAAUAAGCUCCGGCUAACUCCGUG
rnacentral:rRNA from 1 species